CUCAUUUCUUGGUUACAGUCCUUCCUGAGGUGUCACGGCAUUAUCCCUUUGGAUCGAGACAUUUUUGUGUUCCUAUAAAAGGCUCCCUAUCAGUGCACAUAAUCCGUAAGGAGUGUUGAAACAUCACUGGAAAUGUAAUUAGAUGGAGAAAAUUCUGAUCACCUGAACUUCUCUAAGAGACUAUUACACAUAGUUGGAAGCAAUAGUUUGAUUAGCCAGUUAGGGGGAGACUCUAUUAAAGGGUUUACUUAAUACUGUCCCAUCAAGCUGUUGAUAAGACUUGUAAGAGGAAAAGGGAUGAGGGUGUCCGCUUAACUGCAGGGUUUUUGUUUUCUCCAGUGGGUAUGAACCUCAGGGGGGCGAGAAGUUGAGUUGCUUUGGACAAGAGGGCAGAGACUGAGUACUCUUCAGCCAUCCCCUAUGCAGAGAUCAGCUUUUCUACUGAGAACAGUUGAAGAAAUAGUCCAAGAAUACUCAAAGAAAACGUUUGAUAAGAUGCCAAAUUGUUCUAUAAGACAGGGCCGGUGGGAAGUCAGAAGAAACUAUGUAGCUUCCUAAACAUGAAAGAUGAGAGAGGCACAAGGAGCUAGAGACCAAGGCAGAUGCUGAAACUCAGGAGGCUGGUCAUUGAGGAUGCAGCGAAAGAGUGCAAGGGCACCUAAGACACUACAAAGACUAAGGCUGUGCUUCUCCAGUUGGGGGACCUGUGCCCUUACAGGCAAUCAGACGGGAAGUUACAGAAUAAUUACAGCAUAUCUUCUUGGAAUUAUCAAAUUUUCUCCAUUUCUACAAGAAAACCUCAUUUCAUUGUGCUUUUGUUUUACUGUGCUUCACAGAUGUCGCAUUUUUUACAAACUGAAGGUUUGUGUCAACCCUGCAUCAAGCAAGUUUAUUAGGACCAUUUUUCCAACAGCAUUUGCUCACUUCAUGUCAUUAUGUCCCGUUUUGGGAAUUCUCACAAUAUUUUACAAUUUUCAUUAUUCAUCUAUUUGUUGUGGUAAUCUGUGAUCACUGAACUUUGAUGUUACCAUUGCAACUCAAAGAAGGCUCAA